AGAGUUUGAUCAUGGCUCAGGAUGAACGCUAGCGGGAGGCCUAAUACAUGCAAGUCGUACGAUAGUCUGUAGCAAUACAGAUGAAAGUGGCGGACGGGUGAGUAACACGUAUGCAAUCUGCCUCUAUCCGGGAGAUAGCCCUCCGAAAGGGGGAUUAAUAUCCCAUAACAUCAUGAAUCGGCAUCGGUUUAUGAUUAAAGCUCCGGCAGAUAGAGAUGAGCAUGCGCCCCAUUAGGUAGUUGGUAGGGUAACGGCCUACCAAGCCUACGAUGGGUAGCUGGUCUGAGAGGAUGAUCAGUCACACGGGCACUGAGACACGGGCCCGACUCCUACGGGAGGCAGCAGUAGGGAAUAUUGGGCAAUGGAGGCAACUCUGACCCAGCCAUCCCGCGUGCAGGAAGAAGGCCCUACGGGUCGUAAACUGCUUUUAUUGGGGAAGAAAAUCCCUCUCGUGAGAGGGACUGACGGUACCCAAAGAAUAAGCACCGGCUAACUCCGUGCCAGCAGCCGCGGUA
rnacentral:rRNA from 1 species